rnacentral:rRNA from 1 species
GACAGGGGGUGCAAACGUUGCUCGGAAUUACUGGGCGUAAAGCGCGUGUAGGCGGGCAUGCAAGUCGAGUGUGAAAUCCCUGGGCUCAACCCAGGAACUGCAUUCGAAACUGCAUGUCUAGAGUGUCGGAGAGGGAAGCGGAAUUCCUGGUGUAGAGGUGAAAUUCGUAGAUAUCAGGAGGAACACCGGUGGCGAAGGCGGCUUCCUGGACGAUUACUGACGCUGAGACGCGAAAGCGUGGGGAGCAAACAGG